rnacentral:rRNA from 1 species
AUGGGGUUCUUCACCAAGAGCACCUCCAAGCAGACCGCCAAGCUCAAGUCCCUCAUCAAGAUCGCCGUCGCGCGCCUCGCCGUCGUCCGCCGCCCCCGCCUCGGCCGCCGCUCCAUUGCGCGCGGCGACGUCGCGCAGCUCCUCUCCAUUGGCCACCUCGACCGCGCUCUCGCCCGGGCGGGGCAGGUCAUGGAGGAGGACAGCAUGCUGGAGGCGCUCGACAUCAUCGAGCACUACUGCAAGAUCCUCGUCGACCAGUCCGCCCAGUUGGAGAAGCCCAAAGAGUGCGGCGAUGAGAUCAAGGCGGCGGCGGCGGGGCUGAUUUUCGCGUCGGCGCGCUGCGGCGAGCUGCCGGAGCUGCUGGACGCGCGCGCCAUCCUGGCAAGCAAGUUCGGCCGGGAAUUCGAGAGGGCGGCCAAGGAGGGCUCCCAGGCCGUCGUCAAUCCCACGUUAGUGCAGAGGUUAUCUGGCGAGAAGGCGAGCGCGGGGCAGCAGAGGAGGUUGGCCAGGGAGAUUGCCGCCGAGAACGACAUCUUGCUCGACUUCCCCGAAAGCCGAGGAGAGGUUCAUCAGAGCAAACAGAGUGAACAGGCCAAGAACGUGCCGGCGCCGGCUGGGAAAUCUGUCGAACAGCCUGAGGUCAGGACCGAAACUUCCGAGGUGCAGAGGAGGCAGAGGCUUGCCGAUGACAACGUGAGCCGGUCGAACCUUGCCCGGCAGAGAGCAGAGGAGAAGGCGUCGAGGGAAUCCAAGAAGUACGACGAUGUCAGGAUGGCGGCGGAGGCAGCGUUCGAGUCAGCGUCGUUCGCCGCCAUGGCCGCCCGGGCGGCAGUGGAGCUGUCUCGGACGGAGUCGCAUGGGAAGGGACCGAGAGGCGGCGGCCGCGGGCACGAUAAGGUCCAUCCUUUGCAGAGUUCUGGAGCAACCGAGCGGGAGACGCGGCCGCCGGGGAAGCCGCAGAAGCCUCCGUCUCCGUCUCCGUCGCCGUCGUGGAGCGACAAGAGCACGGUCUCCUCGGUAUGGUCGGACGCACCAGCACGGGACGCGCCAUCACCGCCGAAGGGGAAGAGCAUUGUGUUCGACCGGAGCGACGGAGAGGACGACGAUGUCGUGGAGGACCUCGUCUGGACUCCGCAGCUGCGUCGGCCUCCCUACAACAACAGAAGAACGGCCUCCGCAAUGGGCAUGGACGGCGUCGGCGGCGACGACAACACGCACGGCGCGCGGCGCGCGGAGUUCCAGGACAGCGUGCCCAACGGCUCGGAAGACGCGCGGCCGACGCACAGGAGGCACGCCUCGGAGCACGCCGGCGGGGGCGUGCGCCGCGAGGCCCCGGAGCAGCCCGGCCAGUACAGAGCCCCUCCGUACAGGAGGAGCCCCGCGGCCGAUGCAGGCAGCAACGGCGGCGCGUACGAGAGCUCGGCGUUCGUGGUCCGUGCGCCGUACGCGAGGAUCACGUCCGCGCUGGAGGGCGGCAACGAGCACAUCGCGCGGCACGAGGAGGUGCGCAGGAUGGGCACCGACGCGCGGCUGCUCCAGGAGCAGGUGUACGGCCCCGCCGCGCCCGGGCCGGGGCGCGCGCCCCUGACGCCGGACAGGAGGGCCAUCUCGGUGCGCACAAGGAGAUGA